rnacentral:rRNA from 1 species
AAGUUGCGCCCCAAGCCGUUAGGCCGAGGGCACGCCUGCCUGGGUGUCACGCAUCGUUGCCCCUCCCCCAAACCCCUCCCCUCCUCGAAAGAGGGAGACGAGGGGACUUGGCCGUGGGCGGAUAUUGGUCUCCCGUGCGCCGAAGGGCUCGCGGUUGGCCUAAAUACGAGUCGUCGACGGCGGACGUCGUGACGUUCGGUGGUCAAACAAACCUCGAGCUCCCGUCGCGCGUACGUCGUCGGUACAACAAGGCUCACCGACCCUGAAGCGUUGUCAACAGCGCACGCAUCGCGACCCCAGGUCAGGCGGGAUUACCCGCUGAGUUUA